AGAGUUUGAUCCUGGCUCAGGAUGAACGCUAGCUACAGGCUUAACACAUGCAAGUCGAGGGGCAGCAUCAUCAAAGCUUGCUUUGAUGGAUGGCGACCGGCGCACGGGUGAGUAACACGUAUCCAACCUGCCGACAACACUGGGAUAGCCUUUCGAAAGAAAGAUUAAUACCGGAUGGCAUAGUUUUCCCGCAUGGGAUAAUUAUUAAAGAAUUUCGGUUGUCGAUGGGGAUGCGUUCCAUUAGGCAGUUGGCGGGGUAACGGCCCACCAAACCAACGAUGGAUAGGGGUUCUGAGAGGAAGGUCCCCCACAUUGGAACUGAGACACGGUCCAAACUCCUACGGGAGGCAGCAGUGAGGAAUAUUGGUCAAUGGACGAGAGUCUGAACCAGCCAAGUAGCGUGAAGGAUGACUGCCCUAUGGGUUGUAAACUUCUUUUAUACGGGAAUAAAGUUAGCCACGUGUGGUUUUUUGUAUGUACCGUAUGAAUAAGGAUCGGCUAACUCCGUGCCAGCAGCCGCGGUAAUACGGAGGAUCCGAGCGUUAUCCGGAUUUAUUGGGUUUAAAGGGAGCGUAGAUGGGUUGUUAAGUCAGUUGUGAAAGUUUGCGGCUCAACCGUAAAAUUGCAAUUGAUACUGGCAGUCUUGAGUACAGUUGAGGUAGGCGGAAUUCGUGGUGUAGCGGUGAAAUGCUUAGAUAUCACGAAGAACUCCGAUUGCGAAGGCAGCUUACUAACCUGUAACUGACAUUGAUGCUCGAAAGUGUGGGUAUCAAACAGGAUUAGAUACCCUGGUAGUCCACACGGUAAACGAUGAAUACUCGCUGUAGGCGAUAUACGGUCAGCGGCCAAGCGAAAGCAUUAAGUAUUCCACCUGGGGAGUACGCCGGCAACGGUGAAACUCAAAGGAAUUGACGGGGGCCCG
rnacentral:rRNA from 1 species